rnacentral:rRNA from 1 species
GGGAAAUUGGCCGUGGUGCUAUACAUGCAGUCGAGCGAACAGAUAAGGAGCUUGCUCCUUUGACGUUAGCGGCGGACGGGUGAGUAACACGUGGGUAACCUACCUAUAAGACUGGGAUAACUUCGGGAAACCGGAGCUAAUACCGGAUAACAUUUGGAACCGCAUGGUUCUAAAGUGAAAGAUGGUUUUGCUAUCACUUAUAGAUGGACCCGCGCCGUAUUAGCUAGUUGGUAAGGUAACGGCUUACCAAGGCGACGAUACGUAGCCGACCUGAGAGGGUGAUCGGCCACACUGGAACUGAGACACGGUCCAGACUCCUACGGGAGGCAGCAGUAGGGAAUCUUCCGCAAUGGGCGAAAGCCUGACGGAGCAACGCCGCGUGAGUGAUGAAGGGUUUCGGCUCGUAAAACUCUGUUAUUAGGGAAGAACAAACGUGUAAGUAACUGUGCACGUCUUGACGGUACCUAAUCAGAAAGCCACGGCUAACUACGUGCCAGCAGCCGCGGUAAUACGUAGGUGGCAAGCGUUAUCCGGAAUUAUUGGGCGUAAAGCGCGCGUAGGCGGUUUCUUAAGUCUGAUGUGAAAGCCCACGGCUCAACCGUGGAGGGUCAUUGGAAACUGGGAAACUUGAGUGCAGAAGAGGAAAGUGGAAUUCCAUGUGUAGCGGUGAAAUGCGCAGAGAUAUGGAGGAACACCAGUGGCGAAGGCGACUUUCUGGUCUGUAACUGACGCUGAUGUGCGAAAGCGUGGGGAUCAAACAGGAUUAGAUACCCUGGUAGUCCACGCCGUAAACGAUGAGUGCUAAGUGUUAGGGGGUUUCCGCCCCUUAGUGCUGCAGCUAACGCAUUAAGCACUCCGCCUGGGGAGUACGACCGCAAGGUUGAAACUCAAAGGAAUUGACGGGGACCCGCACAAGCGGUGGAGCAUGUGGUUUAAUUCGAAGCAACGCGAAGAACCUUACCAAAUCUUGACAUCCUUUGAAAACUCUAGAGAUAGAGCCUUCCCCUUCGGGGGACAAAGUGACAGGUGGUGCAUGGUUGUCGUCAGCUCGUGUCGUGAGAUGUUGGGUUAAGUCCCGCAACGAGCGCAACCCUUAAGCUUAGUUGCCAUCAUUAAGUUGGGCACUCUAGGUUGACUGCCGGUGACAAACCGGAGGAAGGUGGGGAUGACGUCAAAUCAUCAUGCCCCUUAUGAUUUGGGCUACACACGUGCUACAAUGGACAAUACAAAGGGCAGCUAAACCGCGAGGUCAUGCAAAUCCCAUAAAGUUGUUCUCAGUUCGGAUUGUAGUCUGCAACUCGACUACAUGAAGCUGGAAUCGCUAGUAAUCGUAGAUCAGCAUGCUACGGUGAAUACGUUCCCGGGUCUUGUACACACCGCCCGUCACACCACGAGAGUUUGUAACACCCGAAGCCGGUGGAGUAACCAUUUAUGGAGCUAGCCGUCGUAAGGUGAACAAAAGGGG